rnacentral:hammerhead_ribozyme from 1 species
ACCAGAUGACGAGUCCCAAAUGGGACGAAAUGCCCAUCAUGGAU